UAUAAACACGGCCCGGGGUGUGCGGCUCUCCCCGGCCGCGGGGACUCCCCGGCACAGCCCGGCUCCCCCGCACCGACCCCGGCCCCGGCCGGAGGAAGUUUCUGCUGCGGGACACGGCAGGAGAAAACGAGCCGAAUACAGAACCCCCGCUCUGCGCGGCUCCCCCGGGCCAGCGCUCAGGUGGUGUUGACAGAAGAAGAUGGGUAGGAGAUUUCAAUGGCAGGCGCACGUGUCCCAGGAGAGGGUGGAACACCAACAGAGAUGGAGCAAGAAAUGAGCCUUGGACAGCUGCAGGAGAGAAACCCAAACCUUCUUUGGAAAGCAGGGUCACCUGCAGGCUGGGGGCACCUUAUGAAACACCCAUCCCUCCAGACGUCCGGGAGCAUCAAGCAACCGUCAGGAUCUGCCAUGGGUCCCAUCAGCACUGGGGAAGGUGCAGGGCUGAGUGAGGGGCUGGGAGAGACUCCGCACCCCUUGUCUGUGGAGCUCUUAGAGGACAGAGGGGUGCAGGAGGAGAUCCCUCCAGCUGCUCUGCUGGGGCUGCUCCAGACCUUCACUGCAGCCAGGAAUGAUACGAGGAAGAAAAGACACUGACCCCCUCUGCAGCGGCGUGGGGCUGCAGGCGCCCGCCAGGUGUGGUGUGGGGAUGCUCCCAGCUCCAUCUGCCCACCCUGUGGUACCCACAAUCCCCAUGCAGGCUGUCGAGCCGAGCCCAGCUGAGACAGGAGCAGCCAGAAAGGGAAGGAAGCAAAGCGGGGGCAGCUGGAGUGACAGGAACCACGACCUGGGCAUCCCUGCGCUGUUCAUGUGCCUGAGACUGCGAGCAGCGACGUGGUGCAGCUCCUUAUGGCACGGACAGGCAAGGCAGGAUGCUCCUGGAGCAGAGCAGAGCAGUGAGGGUGGGAGGUGCCCCUCAGGACACAUCACACUGCUGGGGUGUGCCCGCGGAUAGAAGGGGAAAUGUGAAAGGGGAAACGGGGAAUCAAGGGAACACAACAGCACCUAAGGGAAAGGGCUGAAGACUGAACGUAUGAAACAAAGGUGGUUUGGGAUCAGAUGGGAGAGAAGAACCAUAUCUGGAGCAUCUCCUUCAGUGGGAGAUGAUUUCAGGGGGGUCGUGAAUGUUUGAACUGGCUCAGGAUUUCCCUGGGAAAGGUUAGGCUGGUGCUUCUAACGGGAUUGCAACUAAGCCAGCUCUGCUGGAGAUGGCUGCAAUGUUUAUUCAUGGUGGGGAAGGAAAGGAUCAGCUGACUUUUACAUCCCCAGGAGCAUAAAGAGGGGGAAUGGGCCCUUUCCCAUGGCCAUGGACAAUGAUUGUGCUACUUCACCUCAGGGCUUUUCAGAUGUCAGCCAUGUCCCAAAAAUUAAAUGAUGAAGAAAGGAGGAAUAAACCCCAAUGCAACCAAGGCAGCACAACCUCCUCCCCUGCCUUAGGGCUGCCCUUUCUAAAGGCUCAAUUGACCCUAUUUUUGGGACCUGAAAGGUGAAGCCCAAAUACAGAGCAAAUAUCCCUUUAUGGGGGUCUCUCAUUUCACCCUUAGACCAGAGACUCCCCCUCCAAUUUCCACAGCUGCUGGGUGCAGCCUCCUGAUCCCACCAUCACAGCCUUUUGUCCCAAGCAAGAGAUUCCUUUGGGAAGGCAAUUUCAUUCCCAUGCACCUCCCCUGGGUUUCUCUGGGUCUGUGUCCCCUCUCCAGCAUCCCUUUACCCUAUUAAUAUCCUUUGACUGUCCUCACACCUGCAGACAAUCUGGCCCCCAACCACCUCCACCUCCCCCCUUCCUCAAAAGCUUCCCUCAGCUGUCUUUAAGUCGUAGCUGAAAUCUGUGGUAUGUAGGAGGAGAAAUUCAGUCUGACAGCAGUUUAAAACACCGCACUACUUGGCAGAUUUAAAUGCUAUUUUAAAUAUAAGCUAUGACACAACGGACAAAAAUAGCAUUGAAAAUACCCUGUCAUGUUCCAUAUUGCGAGGAAUAGGGAAGCAGACCAGGCUAGAAAGGAGCAGAGAGAGGGGCCAGAUGGAGAGGACAGGUUAUUUUGUUUGUUUUAAAGAAACUGGAUAAAUGUAUUUUGUAUGUAACUGAGUAAAUGUGUUUUAUAGAGCAACGAGCCAAAAAAAAAAAAAAAAAUAAGCCUUCUCAUGAAAAA